rnacentral:misc_RNA from 1 species
GGAAGUAAAAGUCGAACAAGGUUUCCGUAGGUGAACCUGCGGAAGGAUCAUUAGAAAUGGCGGGGGAAGACUUGCUCUUCUCCCCAAAUCUCUAUUCUGUGCACUGUUUUUGUGUGCUGGGCUAGUUUCGGCUGGGUCAGCACGGGGUGGAGCUUUGGAAACUGUUUGCUAUGAAUUUUCCCCCGGGAAAGUUCCGCUGGAAACUUUUGACAUCUCCGCCGAAAUUUAAUACUAAUACUGACUGACCAUGAAAAAGUUAAUAUAACAACUUUCAGCAAUGGAUCUCUCGGCUUUC